UGAAAAUCUAAAAUGUCAGCAGUGGUGUGAGGCUCACUAAAGCCUUUUGAUCUCACCGCUUCGGACGUAGUAACCAGUGAGUGAAGGCUCAUCAUUGGAGAGAAAUGUGCAAUGUGACAGUGAUUGGCCGACAAACAACAACAACUUACACUCGCGGAAAUAGACAUGAUUUUCUUUUGCGUUCGACUUCUGAAUUUCCAAGUGCCCCCUGAACGCCUCAGUGAACACUACAACUGAACUGCGCAUGCGCACCCUGCCGUCCUGCCGUCUUCUCUGGUAAGUAAUUGUGAGCCGCUAACGGAGAAUGAUUUAAUCGAUAUAAAUACAAUAUAAGGUUUUAAAAAGCCGUUGAGGUUAGUUGGUAACUCAUAGAGUUUAUAACUACAUGGAUGAAAGUGAAAUAUUACCCAUGUAUUGCAUAUGCUGACGCUUGCUUAACACUAGCAUAGCAGCUAUUGUGACUUUAGCAUGUUAAGUUAACGUUACAUAUGAGUUGGGGGUAUGCCACGUUUUUAGUUAACGUUAACUGACGCGGUAGUUAGCUAACUAAGUCACCGGUUAGCUAGCUAACGUUACUAUUAUCAGUUAACGUGGCUAAAGUCAGUGCUAGCCGAUAUGCUAGUGUUAGCUGACCGUUAACGUCAUGACGCCAUGUUCACACCCAACGUGGCGCAAAUUUCUUGUGCUAUUGUUAAAGCGUAACCUACAACAUGACGCGUUUAUAGGCUGCUCUUGUUCUUACUAUAUUGUAGCUUCUUUGCUCACAUAGAGCUCUAUGAGACAUGUUGGUACAGAACGAAUUAAACUAUGUGCAUACCACUAUGGUGUAUAUAAUGACGCCGUACGAGUGUUGGUGGAGCUGCUACAAUGUUAGCUUAGGCUAGCACUGCUCCAUCCAGGCUCCAUUCAGAAAACGAGCAUUUUAAAGUUCGGUGCUCUUCCGUCUUGCCGACAGAAGUAACAAAACAUGAACAAAAAAAAUCGACAUAAUUCUGUUAUUUCGCUUGUUAUUCGUUUAUUGCAAUUAAGUAAAAUCUCUUUAUUCUGGGCUCUUACUGCUGCACUGUAACCAGUCGCCAUGAUCUAUACCGUGCUUACGUGUGAUAGUGCAGCUCGAUCGUCUACGGAUGUCGUUACCAUCCGUAAAGACCUGGCAAAUGUGGGCCUUCCACAUCACGUAAAACGCAGAAAUUUAGUUAAUUUGUCCAUAGCUGAUCCCCCUCCAGUGCGUCAUGACGCCAAAACCCACAAAUAUUCCCACAGAGAAUAUCCAGCUCCUCCGGUCAUGUUAUGUAGUUACAGGAAGGAGUUACACACCAAUGUCAUGCCUUUUAAACCGCCAACACAUUAGUAAAAACGUCAGUAGGAACAAGCUAAUUUCUAACAUGAAUACUGUUAAUGCUCCUUAGGUCGUUUACCAGCAGUUUAAGCUGUUACCAGCAUGUAGUAACAUUUAUGGCAAGAAUAGUGGUAUAUAUGAUGAGCAAGAGGCUAGAUAUUAUUAUAAUUAUUAUUAUGAUGUAUAUUGCAUUUGAAAUCCUGGCUUGUUUCUUUUAACCAGAGGCUACACACACACAAACUAAUGAAGACUUAAACAAUGCAUGACAACGGUUGAGUUAAUUCUUGAUUUCCCAUAUGAUGCUGGUAGUAAUAAAGAGUAGUAUUCUACCUCUGUAAUGUAUGUAUUGAAUAGAUAAUAUAUUGAAUAGACAGGGUUUUUUUUUGUGUGUUUGGCUUGAAGCUUUAACCCGCUUACUGUCUUUUUGUCAUAUUGUUUCCUCUGGCAGACAACAGAACAUCGAUCCAUAUCUCCAUUUUGGUUGGCUGACUCUGAAGUACCAUCACUGCUGGUGACUUCACAGUGUCCUGCUGUGCAGCAUCUCUCCUCUAUCACGUUGGCUCUCUAUCUCUCCUAUACCUUGUAUCCACUCUGUCUACAAGUUGGCUCUCUAUCUAUCCUGUACCUUGUAUCCACUCUGUCUACAAGUUGGCUCUCUAUCUAUCCUGUCACAUCUACCGCUCUGUCUUUUGCAUAUGGCAACUCACACUUUGUGUCCCCCUCUAUCCCACUCUCACGUUGGUAAUCUUUGGCAAUGGAAUGGAACAAACUCUGGAAACCUUUCUCUGAACUGAACUGAAUUUUGGACUAAGCUCUGUUGGCUCGACUUGGGUUACUGGUACCUAAUCUAUCUGACUUGAAUACUCUGAGAGACUCUCUUCUCUCACCCUCACCUCUUACCUCUCCUAUCUACAACUUAUACACUUAUCUCUAGAACACUAUUGCUGUUUUUGCAACUCGGACAAAGCAUUUAUACUAUUUCCGAGACUUUUUCCCAACACAUUGGUUAAACAAAACUGAAAAGUUAAUUCAGAAACUGAAAGAAACCACACAUAACCUACAUAUUUUGUUGUAAUUGAUAAAAAGUACCUUUUAUCAUUUAGAAUUGAAUGGUACAUUUUCAAAUAUAUAUUUCGAGUAAAUCAUUACAUUAACAUAAUUCAAGAAAGUUGCUCCCUUGUUACUUUACAUAAAAACAAUUGUAGUAAAAGUCUAUAUCAUAUAAAAGGAAUAGUUAAUUUCCUGAUCGUUGUUGCUUUGGAGCUCCGCUGGUUUGUACCCAAAGCUUUGUUUUGGUAGCAGUACUCUAGAAAUCUGUAAUAACAAUUUCCUGUAUAAACGUACAUUAUUUCAAACAUUCAGUGUAUUUGUGUGUUUAGUUGUUUCACUUUGUUCAUACUGAAAUAAAACAAAGCCAUCUAUAAGGAGGAAGUGGAUUCAUUGGGAGUUGCUGCCUUCUGUCUGCAGGCCCGACAUUCAGAAGCUUUCAUCCAUCAUCACGUUGCCACGACAACGCUUCCUGAUUUAAUAUAAACCCAAGUAUUAUAAGUUGUUCUCUUGGUGUUCUUGAUCAGUAAAAGCAGACAAAGGUUUAAUCUAUUUUCACAUUCUGCUUUGUUAAGUUACUUUUACCAUUAAUAUUGUGUUUAGUACCUUGGUUGUGUACAAUACAAGUAAAACAAUAACAUUUGUGGUUUUGAAACACAACAAUGCCCAGAAAGAGUAAGAGGUCACAAGCUCAGAGCCAGCGCUGGCAGCGGACCAAAGAGAAUCCCUGUGCAACAACGACUGAAGGAGCAGAAUGUGUUGGUCCUGAGAGCAGUGAAGAGGUAAAGAUGUCUGCAGAGUCUCAUGCUGGAAGUGUGAAACAGGGAG
ensembl:lncRNA